rnacentral:misc_RNA from 1 species
AUGCGAUAAGUAAUGUGAAUUGCAGAAUUCAGUGAAUCAUCGAAUCUUUGAACGCACCUUGCGCUCCUUGGUAUUCCGAGGAGCAUGCCUGUUUGAGUGUCAUUAAAUUCUCAAUCUCUACCAACUUGUGUGGUCAGUAGAUUGGAGGUGGGGGUUUUGCGGGUGUAUUUACUAUAUCCGCUCUCCUAAAAGCUAUUAGCUGGAAAGCCUUUGCAGAACCAACUAUCAGUAUGAUAAUUAUCUACUCUGAUGUUGUUGUGAAGGGAAUCUGCUUUCAAACCGUCAUUCCUGACACUUUGAAUAUAUUUGACCUCAAAUCAGGUAGGACUACCCGCUGAACUUAA